CCWCAKCAACUACKUGAUGUGYMUCGGYGCYWMGUCAUGCGCAYGCCMUACGCCAUACUUGWCRAUAUUGKCCCCAGAUCGUUACCGUGAUGGAGGRAGGCUGCCMAAGAAAGCAGCCAUUUUCGCUGCUUUGAGAGUGAKCGGAGUUCGAGAAGKAAGGUCAAGAUUCAUGUUCGCMCCCCUACUGGGCGUGGAGUCUUCUGCUGAGGAGCGUASCCGUGUGCUGAGAAMCUCAAGAGUACUUGCGUGAGAAGGCCCGAGCAACUCCGUGAAGAGAUGGGCGUGGCCGAGUUGGUCAAGUURCCCCCCGCCAGCGAGRCUAUYUCCAACACCAAGUCCGAWGCUCGUCUCUUGGCCUCUUUGCAGGGUCAGUCCACWUCCGAGUCCAUCUCUKCCUUCUCCCCCUCUCCCCUAUUCCGGCAGGAAACCCCCMYCCCAWCGRAAAUGGCGCCGAUCUUUUUCCCUGRAAAUGACUCCCCUAGCAGCUUGUGAGAUGGCCCAGAUCGUUUACCGUGAAAAAAWUAGAGUGUUCAAAGCAGGCAGAUCCAAUUUUCUGCCACCGAAUACAUUAGCAUGGGAUAAUGGAAUAGGACCCUGUCCUCCUAUUUUCAGUUGGUUUUGGCAGCGCGAGGACUAGGGKAAUGAUUAAUAGGGAUAGUUGGGGGCAUUAAUAUUUAAUUGUCAGAGGUGAAAUUCUUGGAUUUAUGAAAGAUUAACUUCUGCGAAAGCAUCUGCCAAGGAUGUUUUCAUUAAUCAAGAACGAAAGUUAGGGGAUCGAAGACGAUCAGAUACCGUCGUAGUCUUAACCAUAAAMGAUSCCGACCAGCGAUUAGGAGACGUUGAAUACAAAACACCACCAUCGGCCCCGGUKUUUUYCGGSGWCRCGCUCCCCCAGCACGCGUGAGAGGUCCMGAUCGUYCUUUAGC
rnacentral:rRNA from 1 species